ACUCGCUCCCAGCGGGUUAUUAAUGGCGCCUCUUUGUUUUUUUGAGACGUGAAUCUCUUACCGCGCGUUGACGUGUUUCUGUUUUCGCACGUCUCCGAAAACUCGACGAUUAUUUAACACAGACGCGGAUCGUGGAGGAUGUAAUAAUGAACGAAACGGGAAUCACGACCGGUCGAACUUUCUCGGACGAUUAUUACGACAGGUUGGAGGUGACACCGAUUUAACGUGGUAUUAUUAUUUGCGCGGGAGUGUUCAAAACGACGGCCUGUCGUUUGUCACAGAGGCAACUCCACGUGUUUCCCGGGUUUAUUUAUCGUGAACGUCACGCGCGCAGGACAGGUUUCGUUAAAACCAAGACACGAGCGGUAACGCGGAUGGUACGCUUAACGUUUAUUAGCGUGUAAAA